GUGCAGUCUAAUAACACACGAGCGAGCGAGCGAGGAGACCAUGGCUGAUAAUCACUCCGUUCAGAAGGCUGAUGCUGUGUGCUGAGAACAGGAAAGAAAUGGAGGAUUGGAUCAGCUCUCUGAAGUCAGUGCAGAGCAGAGAACCCUAUGAGGUGGCCCAGUUUAAUGUGGAACAUUUCUCAGGGAUGCAUAACUGGUACGCCUGCUCCCACGCCCGGCCCACCUUCUGCAACGUGUGCAGAGAGAGCCUCUCUGGAGUUACCUCCCAUGGCCUAUCCUGUGAAGUAUGUAAGUUCAAGGCUCACAAAAGAUGUGCAGUAAGGGCAACAAACAACUGCAAAUGGACCACGCUGGCCUCCAUCGGGAAGGACAUCAUAGAGGAUGAGGAUGGUGU
rnacentral:lncRNA from 1 species